rnacentral:lncRNA from 10 species
GGCCCGAAAGCUCUAGAAUGCACCCCUCUUCCUCCCCGGGGCCUUCCACCUCCGCGAGUUUUAUGACUUAAAAAAGCCCACAGGCUGGUCUGAAGAGGAAGACAAACAUAAAGAUGAAGUGCUUAAUUCAAGGUCACACAAUGUCGGGGAUGGACCUCCAGAUUUCCUUACUGGUGAGACGUGGUCUUGUAACACAGUGGUUAAGAAUGUGACUUUGGAGCCAGCCUGCUAGGGGCUGAAUUCUGACUCAGCCAUUUACUAACUGUGUGACCUUAGGUCACAGAAUUUUCCACACUCCUUGACAGAGGUGCUUAACCCUUAUCCAUCAGCAUUCUCAGACAGCACCUCCGGUUAGGGACAGUAUCUGACCGUCCGACAUCCCUGCAGCCCCCAUGUGUCACACAGACUCAGCCUCAGGUAGAUGGUUUCCGUAGAUGGUGGCUUUCUUUGGACCCUUGACAUCAACCAGUUACUAUUUGCCAGAGACAGACUCCCAGACUCGGCCAGAGGCUGAUGCCAACUCCUUCCAGCUCUCACGGUAACCAUGAGGCCCCUGCGUGUUUCUGUUGUGGAGGUCCCAGAGGGAACUGUAUGGACAGACACAGCCCGAAGGGCCAUCUGCCUCAAGCCACAGCAGCACAGAAUUCUAAAGAUUGUGGGGAAGGAUGGGGCCAAGGGGACCAGAUGUGCAGAGGUAAUGAAUACCAGGGAAUCAGGAAACCACUGGAUCAGUUCUUUGAGCCACAGAACAACACUCAUCCCAGCAGCUGGGAAGCUAUCUGCAAAAGUCCAUCUGCAGAAAGGGCUUCCUGGUCUUGCGUGUGGCUGGGCCAUUUCUCUGGAUGCAGGUUUUUCAUUAUACAGUCUUCUCAAAGAACCACCUGCUCUCAACACCUUCUCGGUGACUCCAUUUCCCCUCCUCU